rnacentral:rRNA from 1 species
AGGAUUAACGCUGGCGGCGUGCCUAACACAUGCAAGUCGAACGAGGUAGCAAUACCUAGUGGCAGACGGGUGAGUAACGCGUGGUCAACCUACCGUUGAGUGGGGGAUAACUAGCCGAAAGGUUAGCUAAUACCGCAUACGUCUCCGAGGGGCAUCCCUUGGCGAUAAAAGGAGCAAUCCGCUCGAUGACGGGACCGCGUCCCAUUAGCUAGAUGGUGGGGUAACGGCCUACCAUGGCACCGAUGGGUAGCUGGUUUGAGAGAGCGACCAGCCACACUGGGACUGAGAAACGGCCCAGACUCCUACGGGAGGCAGCAGUGAGGAAUUUUCCGCAAUGGGCGCAAGCCUGACGGAGCGACGCCGCGUGUGGGAAGAAGGCCUUCGGGUCGUAAACCACUGUCGAAGGGACGAUAAUGACGGUACCCUUGGAGGAAGCCCCGGCUAACUACGCGCCAGCAGCCGC